rnacentral:tRNA from 1 species
UAUUUAAAUAGCUUAUAAAAGAGUAUAAUAUUGAAGAUAUUAGGGAGAUUAUUUAAAUCUUUAAAUAA